UACGAAGGGGGCUAGCGUUGCUUGGAAUCACUGGACGUAAAGCGCACGUAGGCGGAUUGCUAAGUCAGGGGUGAAAUCCUGGAGCUCAACUCCAGAACUGCCUUUGAUACUGGCGACCUUGAGUCCGGGAGAGGUGAGUGGAACUGCGAGUGUAGAGGUGAAAUUCGUAGAUAUUCGCAAGAACACCAGUGGCGAAGGCGGCUCACUGGCCCGGUACUGACGCUGAGGUGCGAAAGCGUGGGGAGCAAACAGG
rnacentral:rRNA from 1 species